GGUUAGUUGCUCAGUGGUAGACCACUUGCCUAGCAUGUAUGAGGCACUGGGUUCUAUCCUCAGCACCA
rnacentral:tRNA from 1 species